rnacentral:rRNA from 1 species
GGAGGUAGUGACAAUAAAUCACAAUGCGGAACUUCUGUUUUGCAAUUGGAUUGAGAACAACGCACAACACUUAUCGAUAAACAAUUGGAGGGCAGGUCUGGUGCCAGCAGCCGCGGUAAUUCCAGCUCCAAUAGCGUAUAUUAACGUUGUUGCAGUUAAAAAGCUCGUAGUUGAAGUGAAGUGUGAAUCUUCUGGAUUUUCGUUCGAAUUUCCAGCUGCUUCAUACUCUUUCCAAAUAGUUUGCAUGGGUAUUCACUUAUCUGUGUAUUGCAUUUGGUCAUUUACUGUGAGAAAAUUAGAGUGUUCAAAGCAUACGUUUGUUUGAAUACAUUAGCAUGGAAUAAUUCGAAAAGGCUUUCAUGUUCGAUUUGAUUGGUUUGUUCGUGAAGGCAAGAUUAAAAGGGACAGUUGGGGGUAUUCAUAUUCAAUAGUCAGAGGUGAAAUUCUUGGAUUUAUGGAAGAUGAACAAGUGCGAAAGCA